rnacentral:rRNA from 1 species
AGCCUGAUCAGCAAUGCCGCGUGUGUGAUGAAGGUCUUAGGAUCGUAAAGCUCUUUCACCAGGGAUGAUAAUGACAGUMCCUGGUAAAGAAACCCCGGCUAACUCCGUGCCAGCAGCCGCGGUAAUACGGAGGGGGUUAGCGUUGUUCGGAAUUACUGGGCGUAAAGCGYACGUAGGCGGAUUAGAAAGUARGGGGUGAAAUCCCAGGGCUCAACCCKGGAACUGCCUCUGUAAACUGCURGUCUAGAGUUCGAGAGAGGUGAGUGGAAUUCCRAGUGUAGAGGUGAAAUUCGUAGAUAUUCGGAGGAACACCAGUGGCGAAGGCGGCUCACUGGCUCGAUACUGACGCUGAGGUGCGAAAGUGUGGGGAGCAAACAGGAUUAGAUACCCUGGUAGUCCACACCGUAAACGAWGAAUGCCAGUCGUCGGGYAKUAUAUCUGUUUGGUGACACAGCUAACGCACUCAGC